rnacentral:lncRNA from 1 species
CUGGGAGUAAUUCCUCACUUUUAGAAGAUUAGACAAUGGUAGUUCAGCAAAUGUUUUUAAGCAGAUUGAAUAAUUUAGAAUAUUGGAAUGAAGAUGGAAUAGUUUAGAAUGUUGGAGUUUGGAGUUUACAAUAUGGAAAUGAAUGUUUACGCUUUCAAAGGUAAGAAAAGCAUUUAGAACAUUAAAGGAGAUUGAAGGUGUUAGAAGCAAUCUGAAUCAAAACAUUCCUGACAGCAAAAUUUAUAUGGAAGAAAAUGUAAUCUCUAUAAAGUUAUAAAAUCAAAAGAAAGAUGCAGUUAUCAUGAAGAUAAUGUAACACUUUAUAAUAUUGGAGAUUGGAGUUUGGAGUUUACAAUAUUUGAGUAGAUUUAUGAAGAUGAAUGUUUAUGCUUUCACAAGUAAGAAAAACACUUAGAAC